ACUGAGCGAGGCCAGGGAUCAAACCUGCAUCCUCAUGGAUACUAGCUGGGUUCAUUUCUGCUGUACUACAGCGGAAACUCCAAAGGCUCUAGUUAUAAUCUAAGCUUAAAUAUCUAAGGCCCAAAAGAGGUGGUGCAGUAAGACUAUAACCUGGGAUAGGCAAAAAUACUUUGGAAAGAUGUAUUGGUUGUUAAUUACAUGUGGAAACAGAGAAAUCAGAUAUUAUAGGGUUUCAUGCCUCACCUCACUAUAUAUGAAGGAAAAUGGUUACCUUCAUAUAUAGUAAGGCCAUUUUACUUUCUGUUUUAAUUUUUUUAUUUUAAUUACAGAUCUAGGUUUUGUCCCAUUGUUCUAAUACAAUACAUCUUUACUGUUUCACUUAGUGUUCUUAAAUAACAGUGGUUCAUAGAUCCCUUAUGGAAACCACAAAAGCAGAUUUCCUGUUGAAAAAACAUGGUAUAAUGUGUAGGUAACAUUGAUUUAAUGUUUCUUAAGUUAUUGGCAACCUAGGAUAUUUUUCUGCCUUAUCUGAUUAUGUUGACACAACUGUGGGCUGCACUGCUGUCACAUUGUCACAUCUGAAAUAUAUUUUAACUGUUGUGUUAUGCAGUGCAUAAUUUACAUGCUAUCCUUACUAAUCCUGAAGCCAAGAGAAGGAGUUAGAAAAGGAAGCUUUGUGUCUCACAGGAAAUAAAUAUUAUUUUCUAAAUCAAUUCAGAAGAUUUUAGUUCCAAAAAUAUUAGAGAUGGUUGGAGGGUUUUUAUAGAAGUUCUAUAUAACAAACUAAAGUGAAGGAUUACUUUUUAUUAAGAUAGUUUUGAAUAAGGAUAGCUGUAAAAAUUGUAUAUAUGGAAACCUGAGAAAUUCAUUUCAAAGUUGAUAAAACAGGGGAAAGUUGGGUUGUAUAAAGAUACAUUUUAAAAGUUCAAGACUGGUGGAGUCAUAUUCUACAUAGACAAAUGGUGUUCACUGCUGUCAUCCUAGAUUGGUAGCUCUCAGCACUUUCUGCACAAUUUUAAUCAUUUGGGAACUUUUAAAAAAAGAUUGUUGAUGGUUGGCCUUAUUUCCAGUAGAUUCUAAUUUGACUGACCUGGAGUAUGUGAGACUCUGGUAUCAGUAUUAUUUAAAUUUCUGCUAGUGAUUCUAUUUGCAUUCAGAAGAGAAAAGCACUGCCCUAGAACUUUUGUCAAUUUGGAAACGGCAUUGUUGAAUUUUAUAUAAUAAUAACAUUAGGACAAUGUAACCUUAAGCAAUAGCAUUAUAAAAUCCUGCUCACUACUGAAAAUAAACAUGUUGCGAUGAAUAAACAUAUAAGCAUUUAUAUAUAUAUACACAUAUAUAUAUAUACUGUAUACAAAUACCAGUUUCUAUCAUAUUUUGUAGGAACUUCCUCUGCCUUGAGAUGAGUGAGAAUUUAUUUGAAGAAAAACCCUUCAGAUUUAUGAAAUUAUCUUUGUGGAACAGAAAACACAAAACUGAUCAAUAUUUUUAAUUUACCUUCUAGUGUAUUUAUUCUUUAUUUACACAAUAUAGUUUUACUGAGUAAUAAGUAUAUGCCAGGUACUACUAUAAGUGCUUGGGGUGGGACAGUGAAUAAGAGACAAAAUUCUUGCCUUCAUAGAGCUUAUCUUCUGGUAAUGGGGAUUUAAAAUUCAUUUAAAAUUUAAUAUCAUAGGUUUAUUUUCUUUGUAUUUCUUUUUAGGUUGACUAUGAAUUUCCAUCUUCUGUAAUGAUAUAAAAUUCCUUUUUAAAAUAAGCACUUACAUUUUAAAAUUGAGUCUAAUAAAAUAUAUAAAAUUACUAAUAAUCCAGGUAAUACUUUGAUGUGUCAAAAUUAUGAAGAAACAUGAAUGACAGAUACUUAGCCACAUUCUUGGCAUCCAUAUGUGGAUGCUGAAAUAGCUUAGUUGCUCAAAGACAUAGGAGAAAAUAGAGUUGUAAGCUUAACUUAUAUUUUUGGAAGUAUAUUCUUUUAGAGACAUUUUAGUAUUCUUAAUUCAGCAUAUGUUUUAUUUAAACUUUGUAUAAGAAUAUUAGCUGCCAUUCAGUAAAAUCAGAUAUAUUCUACAUUCUAUUCUGAAACUUAUCAUCCUGUAUGCAAAAUAAUAAAAAGCUGGAAGACAGAUGAAGGAGAAAGAAUCCAGAAGAGAAUAAGCAAUUAAAAUAUGCUUCUGAAUGGAGAUAGAAGUGAUAAAGGCCGUCCUUGAGAAUAACGUUGAUUUGAAACAGAAGAGCACAAGCCUUAUUGUUCACUUGAGAGAACAGACCCAUAAUGGUCUUUACUAUGAGUUAGUGUUAUGUUUGGAAACAUUAGCAUUCAAAUUAAGUGUCAUGCAUACUAUUACUGUGCAUGUUUGCACAUGACUAAAUAAAACCUCCAGAAAAGGCAAUGUCUGUAUGAAUGCAGUGUUUCUAGCAUUAUUUUUCUGUGAGUCUUUCCCUGGUGGUAGAUCUGAGUCACUGAAAAUCCUCAGUCAUUGAAAAGGUCAUACUAAAAAACUGACCUGAAUAAAUGCAAAUUAUAAAAUAAACCAUAGUUUACUACUUUAUUGUACUAAGCGAUACUAUGACUUACAUGGCAUAGUUAGUUUCCUAGAAUGAUCUGUUAGAACAAUUACUUUUGAUAUCUAAUGAUCUAUCAAUCUUUAAUUCAAGGCUUAAUAAAAGACACCCACGACCCUGAGGAUAUGGCAAUAAAUAUAAUGCAAAGUAAUUUAAAAAGAAUUAGGAUGUAGGAUUUUAUCAUUUCUAUACUUAGAGCUUUGAGAACCACCUUUAUACUUGUUGAGUUUGACCUACAACUCCUCAUAGACAGACCUGAAGAUUGAAUUUUCUGUUAUUGUGAAAUAAGAACUGGGAAAAAGUGGGGAUUAGUUGUGAUAAGAUCAUUGUUGAUUUGAAGCAAUGUAAUUUCUUGGGUUUACUAACAAUGAAACACUCAAGAAAGUUUUCUUGUUUCCAAGUCCAAUAAAUAUUUUAAACUCACAAGGUAAUGUACUUUUUUUGGUACAGAUAAUAUCUGUUUUUGGAUAAGAUGUUCUUGUGCGUUUGUAUUUAUUGCGCUUCCAUUUGUACAAACCCAAUGCAUUUUUAUACUUUAGCAAAAAUAGAGAUUCAUUUUGGAGAUGGUUUUAUCAUUUCUCCUUCAUUUCUCUCAGAUUAUUCUUUAAAUUUACAAAUAUGUUCUUUAAUUUUUUAAUGGCCCUAAAAUAAUAAUCAGCUUCUUAAAAGUUUUCUUUUCUUAGGAAAAAAUAUGUUUAAAGUAUGGAAAUUUAUGUUAAUAUAGUAUUUAGAAACUGAAUAAAAUGCACUGAUUGAAGAGUAUAUUUAUCCACUUUGAAAUGAAAAUUAAAAGAAAUAUAUAAAAUGUAACCAGGCGUGCCUCUAAGUGUCUCAGUGCAAAGAAAUCUUUUUGAGCAUAGAAUCACGUGAUUUAGGAUAUAUUUUGAUGGCCAUGUAGAGGGGCAAUGAAUGAACCAUUCUGCUUAAUUUUAUUUUACUAGGAAGUGUUGGAACUCUAGGGCUCUAUAUCAGGUCCUCUGUUUUCCUCUAGUCCCCUCUACCAGAGAGGAAGAGAAUUGAAUUGGGCGUAUAGAGAACACGAAGAGAUUUUAAAAACAGAAACAACAAAAGGUCUGUGUUCUUCUCUCCCAGAAUAAUGCAAUUGGGGUAGGAGGGAAGGAAGUCAGGCAUAUUUAUUUUAGGAAAAAAAUAUACCCUCCCUAACCUUUCUUAAGAAUCCCUAUGAGGCAGAAUAAUAAGAGUUGUACAAAGGAAGUAAGUAAAUUAAGAGAAGUUCUAGAAAAAAAUUACGUGAUUCGAAAGGAAAAAUGGGGAGUUAUGAUUGGAGACAGCAAAAGAUAUUAACAUUCAUUUGUUUCCCAUUUUUCUCCCUACUAUGAGUCACAAAGUGUGCUAGAAGCUGGGGAGACAGGAAGCAGAAGCAAAUCAAGUAUCUGUUCUCCUGGGGCCUCUAUCCAAGUGAGUGAGACAAACUCAAAUAUAAAAUUGCAAUUGUACCAAAUGACAUGAGAUACUAAAAACUGCUCAAGUCACAGGGAUCAGGGGGACUUCUUCAAGGAGGUGACCCAAGUGGACUUCAUGGAGAAACCUCCAUUUCUGCUGAGGAUUCUUGUCUGUAUACAUCACUAUUAGGAUAUAGCCUGCAUAGAAAGAUGUGUAAAUCACUGCUGUU
rnacentral:lncRNA from 1 species